GAUGAACGCUGGCGGCGUGCCUAAUACAUGCAAGUCGAGCGAACAGAUAAGGAUCUUGCUCCUUUGACGUUAGCGGCGGACGGGUGAGUAACACGUGGAUAACCUACCUAUAAGACUGGUAUAACUUCGGGAAACCGGAGCUAAUACCGGAUAACAUAUUGAACCGCAUGGUUCAAUAGUGAAAGGCGGCUUUGCUGUCACUUAUAGAUGGAUCCGCGCCGUAUUAGCUAGUUGGUAAGGUAACGGCUUACCAAGGCAACGAUACGUAGCCGACCUGAGAGGGGGGUCGGCCACACUGGAGCUGGGACAGGGACAAGAGUCCUACGGGAGGCAGCAGUAGGGAAUCUUCCGCAGUGGGCGAAAGCCUGGCGGAGCAACGCGGAGUGAGUGAUGGAGGUCUUCGGAUCGUAAAACUCUGUUAUCAGGGAAGAGCAAAUGUGUAAGUAACUGUGCACAUAUUGACGGUACCUGAUCAGAAAGCCACGGCUAACUACGUG
rnacentral:rRNA from 1 species